rnacentral:rRNA from 1 species
AUUGAACGCUGGCGGCAUGGCUAAUGCAUGCAAGUCGAACGAAAGCCCUUCGGGGCGAAAGUGGCGAAAGGGCGAGUAAUACGAUCGAACGUACCCCAAGGUGGAGGAUAGUGUCGGGAAACUGACGGUAAUACUCCAUGUGCUCUUCGGAGGAAAGCUUUGGCGCCUCGGGAGCGGCGAUCGUCCUAUCAGGUAGUUGGUGAGGUAAUGGCUCACCAAGCCGAAGACGGGUAGCGGGUGUGAGAGCAUGACCCGCCGCAUCGGGACUGAGACACUGCCCGGACUCCUACGGGGGGCGUGCAGCGACGAAUCUUCCGCAAUGGGCGCAAGCCUGACGGAGCAAUGCCGCGUGUGGGACGAAGCGUCUUCGACGUGUAAACCACUGUCAGAAUCUAGGAACACUGACCAGAUUCAAAGGAAGGGCCGGCUAACCUCGUGCCAGCAGCCGCGGU